UCCAAAAGAAAAGGAGCCACCCAUGUGAUCUAGAUCUAGCAGAGAACAACAGUAGUUCAAAGUCCUUGAAGCAUGAAUGAACUUGGCAAGUUUGAGGAUUGGAAGGCAAGGCAGUGAGAUGGCUGAGGAGCAGAGAGGGCCAUGAGAUGAGAGGCAGGCAGGAGCCACACUGCAUAUUAUUUUGUGAGCUAGCACAAGGAGUGUGAAUUUCUAAGUGCAGUGAAAUACCUUUGGAGAUUUUAAAACAGGAAAGAAAAAACCUUUUGAGUUUUGCUUUUAAAAGCAACCAAACAUGGUUGCUGUUUUGAGAAUGAUUCCCAGUGAGGAGAUUGGUGUCUGGACAAGGUGUGUUGCUGGUUUGAACUAGUGUGACAAUGGCAGAAGAGAGGUGGAUAUAUUUUAAAGGUGGGGUCACAUAAUUUAAUGAUGGGUUGUAUGUUAGGAGGGAAGGAAAACUGUCUAAUUGAAAUGGUUGUAUAGAUGCUGCUGUCAUGUAGCAUGAGAGACCAUUGGAUUAGAAAUCUGGGGAAAUCAAGUAUUCUGUUGUGAGACAUGAAUGUUUCUUACUCUCUCAAACAAGCAGAAAUAAGUAGUGUCCCAAAGGAUAGCCAGAUACUUGAACACUUUUGGGCAGGACAAUCCUGCACUGGAUCUCGGAGCUGUACAUUUUACCCCAGGAAAUGAAAAACUGCCUCUCUAGUUUGACAGUCUAAACUGCACACACAUUUUAAAUGCUGGGUAGGGUAGUUCUGGGGGCUUCCCCAGUGGCUCAGCAGUCAAGAAUCCGCCUGUAAUACAGAAGACACUGGUUCCAUCCCUGGGUCGGGAAGAUCCCCCCUGGAGAAGGUCAUAGCAGUCUACUCUAGUAUCCUUACUUGGAGAAUCCCAUGGACAGAGGAGCCUGGCAGGCUACAGCCCAGAGUGACAGACUGAAGUGACUCAGCACACGUGCACAUGGUUCUACUUCAGGGUGUACCUCUAGGAUACUGUUACAAGUGUAAGGGAUCUUUACAUUCUUAUGUGUGUUUUCUCAGGCAGUGGACACUAAAAAGUACAACUUAUGCCAUCAGUUUAGUUCAGUUGCUCAGUCUCGGACACGACUAGACGACUUCACUUUCACUUUCACGCAUUGGAGAGGGAAAUGGCAACCCACUCCAGUGUUCUUGCCUGGAGAAUCCCAGGGACGGGGGAGCCUGG
ensembl:lncRNA